GUAAUCACUUUCUGGAUUUCCUAGAAAAUGUUCUUUAAAUAGCUCUGUGCUCUGGUGUGUAGGUAACAUCACACCAAGGCUUUUCCCCUUUUGGCUGUCAUUUACAGUCCUGUUUGACAUUAAAAAAAACUCCUAGGCAUAAAGCCAUUGCAACUUGAAUAUAACAGUGUAGAGAAUAGCAUGCUAAAGAAGAAUCAAGUGAUCCUUUAUGUUUUAACCAUUUUGUACUAUACAACACAUUUCUCUUUCAUGUAAUUUAUUUCUUAAAACAGAUAAUUACUUUUGUGUUCUAUUCACCAAACAGUGAAUAAUAGUGAACAACAUGUAGGCCAAUAUAGCUGAUUGAGAAAAUAAUUCUCCAACUCACUUAUUGCCACAGCAUUGCUGUUUAAGCUUUAAUGUUUUGGUUUGGUUUCCAGUUUACUAGAUUUCUCUGUUUAGUGAAUAAAAUGAAAGGUAUUUAGCAUAGUCUAGAACACGCUAUCAAUUAGGCAAAAAAGGGCAGAUGCCCAAAAACCUGUUUAUAUAAACCAAAGAAUGAUCAGAAUGCCAAAUAGUUCAAUUUUAUUAGCCAAGUAUAAAUGAUAAAACUGAAUGCUGAUUUAAUGAGAAAUUGCUGUAUGUAAAGCUUAAUUAUCUCAUGAAUCUUAAUACAGAUGUUUGUUAACUGCUAGUAACAGAUAUAUAUAUGAAAUUUCCACCAUGGCCUGCAGUAUUCUGGGAUUGCUAACCUUUAUUACUCUAAAAGAACAACUAAGAACCAUGAGGACGAUAGUCUAUAGUGUCACACGUUAAAGAAAGACUCUAAGCACUAAAAUCACUACAGCGCAAUGUCGUGUUUAUGGUGCUAAAAGUGUCCUGACACUCUUCCAAUGUAAAUAAUCAAACUGUUUUCUAAUAGUUUUACUUUGUACCUGGGAUCCGCCUGGUGCCACUCUCUUCCUCUGUGAGAGCCGGAAGCUUUCUAUCUGAGCUAAGCCCGGAGGUACCGGGCUUAGCUCAUUGGCUAAGAGCAAUUUGCUGACUUCCUUAGCCAAUAAGCUAGCACUGUACUGUGGGCUUAGCUCAGGAGAGCUAAUAGAAGCUUGUAGCAGGAGCUUCCGUCUCUCAAUAGCGGUAAAAGAGGCAGGGAGCAGCGGCUAUAAUGCUUGGAGUCAAGGGAGGGCUGGCAGCCUUAGGCCUGGGGGGCAAAUCCAGUCAAGUGGCCCAUUGCACCAAGAGGAGAGUAAAAACACCUUUCCCAUGUGAUUGAAAGGAGGGGUGGAGGGGGCGGCUGUCACCUAAACAGACACUCAGUGACAGACACACACUUGCUGAUUUGGCACACACUAAAAAACACACACUCACUGGCACACGCACACACAGAAAGACACACUGUUACAGGCAUACUGACUCAGACAGACAGACAUACUGACAAACACACACACAUGCACAGACAAACUGGCACACACACACAGAGACAUACUUGCACACACAUAGACAUACUGACACAGACAGACAUACUGACACACACACAGGCAUACUGGCUCACACACAGACAAACUGGCACACACACACAUAGACAUACUGGCACACACACAGACACACAAAGAAAGAAACUGUUACAGGCAUACUGACUCAGACAGACAGACAUACUGACACACACACACACACACACACACACAUACACAGGCAUACUGGCUGACACACAAACAUAGACAGACAAACUGGCACACACAUAGACAGACAUACUGACACACACAGACAUACAUACUGACACACACAGGCAUACUGGUUGACACAAACAGACAAACUGGCACACACACAGAGACAUACUUGCACACACAUAGACAGACAUACUGGCACACACACAGACAGACAUACUGGCACACACACACACAGACAUACUGGCACACACACACACAGACAUACUCAUACACCCAAACUUUACACUUUUAAAACCAGUAGACAGGGGCUGAGUAAGGGGACAGAGCUGUUGUGGGGGGACGGGCUAUAGUGGAGGGUAUACGCUGUAUUUGGGGGUUUAGGAAAUGUAGGGGAGAUAGGGACUGAAGUAGGUUGAU
rnacentral:lncRNA from 1 species